UGGAGUUAUUACAUAAAUCGGAGUUUUUCAAGUAGCUGACAUAAGUUCACAAAAUAAAAUGCAGCGGAUAAUCGAUAUCGUCGAUAGCGAGGAAUUGUGCAAGACCUAGCCCACUACUCCUCUUGCUCCUCUCCUGCCGGAACAACAUCCCACUCGACUGUCCAACCCGGUGGCAGGGUGGUAGGCCAAGUCACACCAUCAACCAUAUCCUGAAGCAUACCUGCAAAAAUUAUGCCACAAGCAAGGCUGAGUAUACUAAUACUCAACUAGACUUACCUGGUGUGAGGAGUCUACUCCUCUACCUCUAGACCAUGCAGUUGUUUGGCUGAGGGGUUUGGUUUGCCAAAAGCACUAGCUUAGUCUAAAACCAAUUUUUAGCUUUUCCAAUUCUAGUAUCAUUAAUUUAGCUAAGUUUGCUCUUUCUACACAUACAUGGUAACAAUCAUUUAAUACAAUCAACAAGUUAUCUCAUGUAAUCCUCAUUUCACUUCUUACUCAAUGUAGUACAAUGGGUCAAGCAGUCUCAUUAGCUGCGAGAAGCAGAAAAUUCGAAUCGAGUUUUAAAACCUUGCAAGGUAAACCUAAACACACGACAUGUCAGGGCACUCCGUCCCCACACAUGUCAACCGUCCCCAUCGAUUCCCCGUUCGCGGUUAGGCCUCACCGCCUUGGCAUACAAUGCUCCACUAACCCCGGCUACCGCCGUGCAGUGACCGCACUUGUACCCACUAUAGCUAGCAUGGGAGACCCAGUCUCAGGACGCGUGAGGGGUAAAGUCUGCGCCCGGCUUCACUUAGGUACUAGGUUUACCGGUUACCAUAUUUCCCGACAUGUGCUUAGUACAUUCAAAUGUUUGACUCUGGUAUCCACACAUUAAUCCUUAAUUCCUAUUUUGUCUUAUGGACAAGGCAUCCUCCCUAGAUCCAAGUCCAUAGACCAUCAUACAUCCCGUUAUCAAGAUGAAUACAAUCAAUUCCUGACCUCGCGCGAGUGCUAGAAAAAUCACUCAAUUUCUACCGAGAACCUGAUUAGCAAAGCAGCUACUCGACCUAGCAUACUAGUAUCCAUCUCAAAAAGGAAUCCUGAGUUCAUGCAACUAGAGGUUUCAAGUAACUCCUACACUUAAGUGCACAUCACAAGCCUACAAACAUUAAGUGUAGUAAAUUAGCAUAUAUAGAUACGGUUAUGCAUAAAAUCGGGGCUUGCCUUCAAUAGCUGGGGCUACGGGGAGAUCCUCGAUGGCAGUCUCGGAAGCUUGCUCCUAGUCUUCCUCAUGGACAGCUCCUUGCUCAGGGAUGAGCACGUACUCUCCGUUAGGGAGAUUGCAAUCUAAUGAAUGCAAUGAGUAAGAUAGAUGCAUGGCAUGGUAUGUAAUUUACAAUUAAGAUUUGAUGGGGGAUGUUAAAUUUAAUAAGGUAGGGCUUAUUCUUACUAGUGAUGGUUUUUGUGGUACACUUAACAAAUUAGGGUCAAGCUUGGUUAAGCUAAUUGUUAAGUUCAUUUUGGUGUUCAACUGAUUUCUUUUUAAUGUCUUAGUGAGAGUUUAUUAAGAUUUCUAGCUGAAUUCAUUGGAGUGAGAUUUAUUUCCUCUCUCUUCCUUUAUAUUUCUUUUAUGCUUUUAAGGUGGGUUUGAACUACAAGACAACAUAAUAUAUUUCAAAAAAUUCUGCAACAAUUACAGUGGCUUCUUACUGGUGUAUAAUUCUCUGUCUCAAAAUUUGGGGCUUAAAAAGUGAGGGGUUCUCUCUGUAUAAAAUUAUCAAAUAUUAGGGCAGAGGGGGUGUUUUGAACUACAACUACCUUUUAAUAGUAGGUUAUUAUCUAAGACAUAUUUUUGUUGGCAUUUAGAUGUUAUAACACGACUUUGUACGAAAUUUUAGCUACUAAUUCUUAUUAGUUAUUUUGUUAUGAUUUUCUAAAGUUUCUAGCCAAAGGGGUGCUUUCUACUACCACUAUACUUGAAAAAUAUCAAACAACAGACUUUUAAUUUUUUCUAUCUUCUUCUUUGUGCAAGAGCAAUCAUUCUGAAGUUUGGUAACUUUUUGCUUAAGGGAAGGGUGGUAGGGAUUUCUUGAACUAAAUGGUCUUUUUCAUGAAGUAGGGGCAAUGCGUAUUAUUUUGUAACUUUCAAUUGGUUUUUGCAUUUUUCUCUGGUGGCCUACUUCAUUAUUAAUCUGGUAAAAAUUUAUUUGCCCAUUAUUGCACACUUUUUUGCAUGCUUAUGAUUUAAUUGGAAUAUGGCUCAGUAUCAAGUCCUAUUUGUUUAAUCUACUUAAAAUGAUGGACUGGGGUAUUUAUCAUUUUUGUAGUGGUGUCCUAGUAGUUACAAGUCUACUAAAUUUUUCUUAACAAUUUUGAAAUUGUUUUCAUAAUUCUAAUAAUUGUCUUUCUAGUUUGAUUAGUGCCUAAUAAAACAUUUCUCCUUGAAUUUGUUCUAGACUAGGGUUCCUUUUAUUUUUCCUAGGUUCUCUAUUACUUAAGUGGACUAGAAAAAUAUUUGCAUUCACUGUUCAUUAUUUUCCAUUGCCUUUCUUAUUUUCCUAAGUUUUUGGAAAACAUGGCUUUUACUAAAUAACCUUGUUUAAAUCUUCAAUACUGGGGUGCUUACUAUUAUUAAACCGUGCCUAAGUGGGGUUUACACUUUUACAAAUUUUCUUAAGUUCAGCACAAAAGCAUAACUAAUUUUCUUUAUUUUAAUAAGGUUUGGUCAGUUUCCUUAAUUAAUUCCAAACUCUAAAAUUUAAAACAGAAAGCACAAGGUUCACUAUUUUUAUAUGACAGUUCAUAAUAUUCUGAGUCCAUAAUAAUUUGUUUGACUAGAUUUGGCUAAAUAUUUCUCAAGAUAUAAAUUUUCUAAGUUCUCUGCUGAAUUUAAAAAGAUUAAUUAGAGAUGGAUAAAGGAAAAAUGGUUUUGCACUGGGGUCCCUAGCGGAAGGUUUUAAACGUAUUACAGACAGGUCCUCGGUUCACUAUUCAUCUGGGUCUAUGACUCUGCAGAAACCCCCUAGGGUUUCCUGAAAUCGAACCCACGAUCCUUCCCCUAAUGGAACAGUGACCGCGGCGGAGGAAAAGGGCGGAGGGGCUUACCGGCGGUGAGGUUGCUCCAGUGAGGGUUCGGGCGAGGUCGGGGAGUCUCUGGCGAUCACGUCGAGGUGCAUAUCGCUGGCGAUCGUGGUCGGAGUAGGUCGGUCCACGCGCGCAAGCGGGGGAGCUCGUCGGUGGCGAGGAAUCCAGCUUAACCAGGGCGCGAUAGAUCAAUUAAAUGGGUCAAGGAGCUUCACCAGAGGUCAAGGAAGAUGUGAGCGCGAGGAAUUUGAGAAUGGCUCACCGGAUUGCUCGAUCUACACGCGGCCGCGGGCGACCGAAGUCCGACGAAGGUGAGCUUGGGUCUCCGGUGAGGUUCUGCCGGGUUCAAGAGCUUGGAAAGCUUUAUGGGCCACUGGCGAAGCUAACCGAGGGACAAGCGCGGCUUGGCCGCGGCUGGAGCGAGCUGGCCGAGGCUUGGGCAGUGAUGGCAGGUGGAGGAAAGCUCGUCGGAGCUAAGGGAGGUGUGUUUGGCCAGCGAGGGUGAGCGCAGAGUGAGGUGAGGCGCGCCCGGGGAUGGUUUUAAAAGGCGCGGGCGAGCGCAGCCGAGGGGAGGCUCUGACAAGCGCUCGGGGUGUGCGCGGGCGAGCGCCAGCGCGCGCUAUGGCGUCUGGCACAGCGUCGAGCACGAGGCAGCGCAGAGAGAGGUCGUGUUCAAGCGCGGAUUGGCUCCAAAUCUUUGAGAUUAUGGCCAUGAUCCCGUUGAGAGAUCUCUUCCUCUGACAUUCGUUUGUCGUUUGUGUGUGGAGGCUUGCAGGUUUCGCUGACUGGAUCAAGAGAUAUGGAGGGGUGAAGUUGGGUUUGUCUCAUUGCCGAACAUAGAGAGAAGAUCCCGGGUUUGACGUGUCCAGGGCACACGUCCCAAUGCCAUCUUCUGGUAUGAGGUAGAGGGGUUAGUUAGACACAUUUUUGUCAAUGGGAUCUUAGAGUUUUGAGAUAGAGAUCAAGGUGAACGCGCUCAUUUUUGGUUCAAAGGCUGAAAAUUCAGAAAUCUGAAUUUCAGAUUUCCCCAUUAAACCUCCACUUGAAUGGCUUGCUUGGAGUUUUUAACAAACUAUUUGGCCAAACUUUUAUAAUCUUUAUUGUAGCUUAGUUAGUGUAUUUCAAUUUUUAUAAUUGGCCUAAGCCAUGAUUUCAUGUUUUUCAUGGUCUUUUAUCCCUUUUCUCCCUUUCUACUUAAGUGGCUUAUUUAGGGUUGGUAUUAGGGUUUCAACAUUUUCCCCUUUUUGAAAACCUCAUUUGUUUUAGACAUGAUUCUUUAGAUGUAAACUUAGUGGAUCUUUUAUUCUUAAGUUGAUUUGGUGCUUCUUGCUCAAUUUGGCUUACAUGAAAGGAUGGCACUAGAGUUAGCAUUGAGAAGAACCUAGGUGACACUAGGGUGUAACAGCCUUCCCCCAUUAAAGGAAUCUCGUCCCGAGAUUCAGGUCAGAGUCCUCCCGGGGUGAAGCGAAGGGUGAGACUCGCUUGAAGUGGGUGCUUUAUUUAUUAAGGCAACUGCUCUUCGAAUGUCAUUCUCUUUGCAGCUUUAGAAGGAAGUCGUUUUUAACUUUAGUCUUAUAAUUAACUCAUUCUAUUUUAAGAUCAUAUUUCUUAUGUUUUGAUUUGAAGGGUAGCGGAGGAGUUGGGCAUGAUUGCGUACCAAUUUCCGUAGGUAGACAAUCGUGAAAGAUGGAACGCAGAAAUUCCUUAGUCUCCCUAGUAGCCUCUUCCUCUGAGUGAUUACUCCAUUGGAUCUUAUACAUCUUGAUCGAUUUAGCCCGAGUUGAUCUUUCUUUGCAAUCCAGAACCUUGGAAGGGUACUCUUGGUACGAUAGAUCUGGCUCUAUUUCCAAUUAUGGUUCUGCUAUGAUCUCAGUCGGCAAUUGAACACAUUUCUUCAGUUGGGAUACAUGGAACACAUUGUGGAUGGCAGACAUUUUUGGAGGUAACUUCAAUUUGUAUGUCACGGGUCCACAUGCUUCUAUGAUCUCAUAAGGUCCAAUGUAACGAGGGGCUAACUUGCCUUUGAUCCCGAAUCUCUGCACUCCCUUGGUGGGUGAUACCUUCAGAUAUACGAAAUCUCCCACCUCGAACUGGAGAGGUUUCCUUCACUUAUCUUGGUAACUCUUCUGCCUGGCUUGAGCAGCUUCUAGAUUCUUCCUGAUUAGUGUGACCUUCCUUUCGGCUUCAGUCACUAAGUCAGGUCCGAAAACUUCUCUUUCUCUAGGCUGAGACCAAUUGAGGGGUGUUCGACACCUUCUUCCAUAUAGGGCUUCCAAGGGUGCCAUCUUUAGGCUGGAUUGAUAACUGUUGUUAUAAGCAAACUCUGCCAAGGAGAGGUGCUUAUCCUAGUUCUUGCCACAAUCGAUCGCACAAGCCCUCAGCAUAUCUUCAAGAAUUUCAUUAACCCUCUCGGUCUGACCAUCAGUCUAUGGGUGGCAAGCUGAACUCCUAAUUAGCUUGGUUCCCAAAGACCCUUGCAAUUGUUCCCAAAAUCUGGCAAUAAAUUAGGCUCCUCGGUCAGAGACAAUGGUCCAGUGCAAUCCGUGCAAACACACGAUUCAGUCAAUGUACAACUCUGCAUACUUUUGAGCCUUAUCAGUGGUGUGCACUGGGAGAAAAUGUGCCACUUUUGUCAGUCGGUCCACAAUAACCCAAAUCGAAUCAUGUUGACGAGAGGUGUUGGGCAGACCCACAAUGAAAUCCAUGCUGAUGUCAUCCCAUUUCCACGAAGGUAUAGAUAGGGGUUGCAAAGCUCCAGCUGAUUUCAAGUGACUCGCCUUUAUCCUCUGACAUGUGUCACAUUCUGGUACAUAUUGGGCUAUCUCCCUCUUCAUUCUGGUCCACCAAUACAAGAGCUUCAGAUCAUGUUACAUUUUGGUGCUCCCUGGAUGCAUGGAAAAUUUGGAGAGAUGGGCCUCAUCCAAGAUUUUCUUCUUGAGAUCUUUAUUUUUAGGAACCACCAAUCUGCUUUCAAACAACAAUAUACCCUUUCCAUCUUGGCGGAAACAUUUAUACUUCUCGGUCUUCUGAUGGAGGUUCUCCUUAAUAAUUUGCACUCCCUUGUCACUGAGCUGGGCCAUGAUGAUCUGGUCUUGCAAAGCUGGCUCAACGGAAAUGUGAGACAAAGCACCAGAAGGAAUCACUUCAAUCUUCAUUUUGCUCAACUCAUCACACAGGGUGUCAAUACUAGAAUCCAUCAUAACACAGUUGCAUUGUAAUUUCCGACUCAAGGCAUCUGCCACUACAUUGGCCUUUCCUGGGUGAUAAUGUACCUCCAGGUCAUAGUCCUUGAUCAGCUCUAGCCAUCUUCUCUGCCUCAUGUUGAGAUCAGCCUGAGUAAAGAUAUACUUAAGGCUCUUAUGAUAUGCGAAGAUGUUGCAGUGGGUUCUCAUCAAAUAGUGUCUCCACAUUUUCAAUGCAUGGACCACAGCUGCUAACUCCAAGUCAUGAGUGGGAUAAUUUUGCUCAUGAGGCCUGAGUGCUCUUGAUGAGUAAGCAAUGACUCAGUUGUCUUGCAUCAAGACACAACCCAGUCCAGUGCUAGAGGCAUCACAGUACACAUCAAAUGGCUUGCUGUUGUUGGGUUGCGCUAACACUGGUGCUGUGGUCAGAUGUUGCCUCAAUGCAUGGAAGGCAUCUUCGCAUUUCUGACCCCAAACAAACAUGACUUUUUUCUUCAGCAAUUCAGUUAUGGGCUUCGCAAUUCGAGAGAAAUCUGGAAUGAAUCUUCGAUAAUAACCAGCUAAUCCCAGAAAACUUCGAAUCUGAUGGACAGUCAUUGGCGGCUUCCAAUUCAUUACCUCUUGCACCUUAUGAGGAUCAACAACUAUACCUGCCUGAGAGAUAGUGUGACCCAAGAAUUUGAUCUCCUUUAGCCAAAAAUCGCAUUUUGACAAUUUGGCAUAAAGAUGGUGCUCUCGCAGACGUUGAAGCACUACAUGCAAAUGCCCGGCAUGCUCUUCUUCGUUCUUUGAGUACACCAAAAUAUCAUCAAUGAAAACCACUACGAACUUGUUCAAAUCAGGCAUGAAAAUAGAAUUCAUCAGAUACAUGAAGUAUGCUGGUGCAUUAGUCAGCCCAAAAGACAUCACCAAGAAUUCAUACAGCCCAUAUCCGGUCGAGAAGGCAGUCUUCGGAAUAUCACUUGCUCGUAUCUUGAUCUGAUGAUAGCCGGAGCGAAGGUCUAUCUUGGAAAACACUUUGGCUCCGACCAACUGAUUGAAAAUAACAUCAAUACGAGGCAAAGGAUACUUAUUCUUGAUAGUCACCGCGUUAAGUGGGCGGUAAUCUAUGCAUAGCCUCAAGGUUUCAUCCUUCUUCUUUACAAACAAGGCUGGACAUCCCCAAGGCGAAGUACUUGGGCGAAUAAAACCUUUGUCCAACAAUUCUUGCAAUUGCUUCUUCAAUUCUGCCAACUCAGCGGGUGGCAUCCGGUAAGGUCUCUUGGAAAUAGGUGUCGUUCCCGGUUGCAACUCGAUGGCGAAUUCGAUAUCCCGGUCUGGGGGCAUUCAUGGUAAUUCUUCCAGAAAAACAUCUGCAUACUCACAGACCACUAGAAUCUUCUUCAGGGGUUACUCCGACAUAGCAAAAGCACAUGACUGAGUAGAAUCUUGACUGGGCAGAAACAAGGUGAAACUCCCACAGAUUCGGGAAUUGAUUUCAACGAUGCAGCUGGUAACAUCGAGCACUACUUUGUGUCUGGUCAUCCAAUUUGUUCCUAGAAUAAUAUCCACAUUCUCCAAACCCAAAACAAGAAGGGUGGUUUUGAUAAUGUGGCUUCCCAGUUGAAUAGGCACACUUUGGUUUAAUUGGUUAGUUGCAAUUUUACCCCCAGGUGUGGCUAUCAUGAAUGACCCUUUUGUGUGAUAGAAAGGCAGUUGACAUUUAGCACUGAACUUUUGGCUAAUGAAACUAUGAGAUGCACCAGAAUCAAACAAAAUUAAUGCAGGUUGAUUAUAAACUGAAAAGAUACUAGUCAUGAUGGGGGCUCCUUCAGGUAACUCCUCCAGAGUAGUGAAGUUGAGCUUCCCUUGCCUGACUUGCACCUUCUGCUUUCUUCCCUUGUCUUGAUUUGGUGCUGGCAUCUGCCUAUGCUGAUUUCUUGGGCAACUCUUGGCAUAGUGACCCACAUUGCCGAAAGUGAAGCACUUGUUCCCAUUUCCCUGGCAAAACUGCUGCUGAGGAGGCUGAUUGUUCCUUGGAGCGGGAGCUCGAAAACGAGUGGGUGCCGGCUGCUGCUGCUGAGGUGGCCUGAUCACCCAUCUGCCUACCUUCUGCUGAAAUCCCCUGCUCUGAUUAUGGGAAACAAUCCUGAACCUCUAGGUCUAAGCGGAGGGUGCUGCCAUUGAUGCCUUUCUUUUCUUCUCUGCCCAGUGAGCUACAAUACAAUCCUCCUGGGAGAUGGCCAGGUUGACCAACUCAUUGAUACUAUCAGCCCGGACAGUGUUGAGACGUUCACGCAGGUUGGUGUUGAGACCCCUGCGGAAGCGGUCUCUCUUCUUCUCAUCAGAAUCAUCAUGAUAACCUGCGUACUGGCACAGGUCAUUGAAGGCCUUAGCGUACUGCAAUACCGUGCGGGUUCCUUGAUUGAGUGGUAGGAAUUCAUUCAGCUUGCGAUCAAGAAUUCCAGUUGGGAUAUGGUGCCCUCUGAAAGUAGUCUUGAAUUCCUCCCAAGACACUUCAUGAUCAGCAGGUAGCAUAGCACGGAAGUGGUCCCACCAAGUCUGAGCAGGGCCGCGAAGCUGCUGCGCGGCGAAGCGAGCCUUGGUAUCAUCAGGGCAGUCUCCCGCGAGGAGGGGAAACUUGGACUCCAUGACGCGUAACCACACGUCGGCAUCCAACGAAUCCUCUGCCUUGGUGAACAAGGGCGGCUGCGUGCUCAGGAAUUCCUAGUAGGUUGCCGCUGCCGGAGGUCGCUGCAGCUGGCCUCCACCAUGCUGCUGAGGGUGGGGCUGGCGCUACAAGAGCUAUCGCAGAAUCUCGUUCUGCUGGGCCAUGAGCUCCUGCACUGUGGGAGCUGGAGGAGGUGGCGUGGGACUUGCUCGUUAUGCCCACGACGCUGCCUAGCUGCCAUCUGAUAACAGAGAUUGUCGCCAUUGUUAUCCCAACUCACAAUUUCGAACAACAUGCUAUUAUCUCAUAUGGAAAGAAAUUGCCAUAAUCAUAAUGUUGGGGGCCUUCGUCCUUCGAAGGUCCUCAAAAACGUAAUUUAAUAAUGUCUUCCAAGCAUGGUUUAUAGACAGGUACCUUCGGAUUCAGGAUUAAAGGCAUAUACGAUGAGAAGGGCAUGAUCAUUAUGAAGGUUGCCGUUGCUUCGAAGCUAUGCACAAGGGAGCUUCGGCUCAAUCGCGGGAAAAGGAACCAACUUAAAGGGGAAAAGGUUAUCCAGUCCUCAUAGAUUUUUCUAUAAGCCAAUAAUAAAUGUAAAGGGCAUGACUGUAAUUUCUCAUAGGCUGUGUCCUGUGCCUAUAAAUAGGUGAACAAUACCCCUGUACUGUUCACGCUGACCUGUAUUUGCUCGUGCGUCACUCUUGUACUUUUACCUUCUAUCAAGCCAAAGGUACUUUUGUAAUUCCAUAUCAUUUCUAUUUUUCCAUGAUAAUAAAGUGGGAAUGAGUUGAUAAUGUUAUAUAAUUGUUCAUGUUAUCUCUUAUAUUUCACAUGUUUCUCCUUUUAUUAACAUAUGCUGCGAUAAUGAAGGUAUGUCCUUCAUGACCUUCGUCUAAAGAUCAUUAUAUCCUAAGGGAAAUAAUGUUUCAAAGGACGAAGGGCAUUAACAUUUAAUAUUUCUGUGUUGCUUUGUUCUUAACUCAUAGCAUUUGAGAACAAGUCCCCAACACAUAAUAUUAGGUUUGAAUGAAGAUAACAUGGUUACAAACAUCCCACAGAUCUCAAAAGUUCACAAGGGUUACAUCAAUUAGGGGAAAGUACCCGUAAGCCUAGCCCAAAAUCUGCCAUUACAAAGCUUGUGUAGGUUUGUAUCAUCCUAAAGCAUCAAAACGACUUAUCAACCCUGAGUAGUAGAAGCGACACUAGAUGCGGGUGAAGGGGGCAUCGCGGAGGUAGUCCCAUUGGCACUAGGGGCUGGUCCUAACUCCUUAGAGCCUCUUCUCCCUCGCUUCCAGCCUCAUUGGCCUCCAUCUCUAAGUGGUGCAUGUCUAGGUGGUCAUUAGCUUCUUCAAGUUCCCGUUGCACAUCAUGGAGUUGGUUCUCCAAGACAUCAAUAGUGUUGUCUCGGAUCUCCACAUGCUGCUCCAAGGUGGUGAUGCGUUGGCUCAGCCUUUCCACCUGUAGGUCCUUCUCCACCAACUCAGAGGAUAAGUCGACCACAAAGUCUUCUCGGCUGUCGAGGGUGAGCUUGGUGGUUUGAGCGAGGUUAGCAAGAUGUGCCAUAGCGUCGCUCUGCAGUGCCUGAAGGCGAUACAGCGCACUCAUGCACUGAACAGUGACCCUCCCAACCAAGUCAGGAUACAUCGCCCAUACAUCCUUCACAUGGCUCACACGGUUGCACCACAUGGGGUCAUCCUUCUUCUCAGCAGGGAAGAGUACCAAGGGAUGCAUCACCAUCUCUAGGGGAUGGUAGCCACAGAAAAUCGUCAGAGUCUUCAUAGCUGCCGCUUUAGUGGUGUCAUCUGUCCUGAAUCCAAUCGUCUCGGAGUCAAGAGAACGCCAACCCGGCUGAAGGGGAUGAGCCUCCAAAGUCAGCCAGACUCGGCAACAUGGUACCCGAUGCUCCUCGUACAAUUGCACCGUGUACAAAGAGGGCGUAGGGUAACCGGCGGAGUUAAGCACUUCCCACAAGAUGGAAGGAAAGCCAUCGUGAGAAAGGAAAUCAGAGCUGAAACGAGUGUCUCCUCCAUUGGCGGGCGUAGGUGAGGUCAUCUGCGGAAGGGUAUCAGAUGUAAAGAUUAUGGUAGAAGAGGAAAAAUAAAAAGAACCUAGGUGGUUUUAAAGGAAGUGGGUUAGCUCAAAUUUUUACCUCAUCAGUUUUAUUCCUUUUAGUUUUAUAAUGCAUGCAUGCUGAAAAUAACGUCUCCUCUCCGAAUAAAAGGGUGCUUUAAGGCAUCCUUUAAAAAGUUAAGAACUGUCCCAUAGGGCCUACUUACUUAGCCACCUAUUUCUCCCUUUAUCCCUAAGGCCUUUCGUCCUAUGUCUAGCGUUCUAGUCCUGACGAUUCAUACUAGUUUCUAAGCAAGUUUUAGAUUUUUGAAAAUUGGUAUUCAUGGUUUAUUGUGCUUCUCUGUGGUGGUAUUUGCUCCGAUACCAGCUGUGACAGAACCACCCGAAUUAUUUCAGCUUAAGUGCCUAAGUCACACCUCAGGGGCCGUAACACACUUAAAUCGAAAUAACCCAUUAGUCCCUCAGAUCUAGUCUGAUUGAGCCACUUAACUAGGAUCAAAUACCACAUAGUCACUCGAAGGUGAGUCACAGAAGAAAUACAAUAAAACAGGAAAACCUCAAAUAUAAGUACUGGAGUUAUUACAUAAAUCGGAGUUUUUCAAGUAGCUGAUAUAAGUUCACAAAAUAAAAUGGAGCGGAUUAUCGAUAUCGUCGAUAGCGAGAAAUUGGGCAAGGCCUAGCCCACUACUCCUCUUGCUCCUCUCCUGCCAGAACAACAUCCCACUCGACCGUCCAACCCGGUGGCAGGGUGGUAGGCCAAGUCACACCAUCAACUAUAUCCUGAAGCGUACCUGCAAAAAUUAUGCCACAAGCAAGGCUGAGUAUACUAAUACUCAGCUAGACUUACCCGGUGUGAGGAGUCUACCCUUCUACCUCUAGACCAUGCAGUCGUUUGGUUGAGGGGUUUGGUUUGCCAAAAGCACUAGCUGAGUCUAAAACCAAUUUUUAGCUUUUCCAAUUCUAGUAUCAUUAAUUUAGCUAAGUUUGCUCUUUCUAUGCAUACAUGGUAACAAUCAUUUAAUACAAUCAACAUGUUAUCUCAUGUAAUCCUCAUUUCACUUCUUACUCAAUGUAGUACAAGGGGUCAAGCAGUCUCAUUAGCUGCGAGUAGCAGACAAUUCGAAUCGAGUUUUAAAACCUUGCAAGGUAAACCUAAACACACGACAUGUCAGGGCUCUCCGUCCCCACACAUGUCAACUGUCCCCAUCGAUUCCCCGUUCGUGGCCAGGCCUCACCGCCUUAGCAUACAAUUCUCCACUGACCCCGGCUGCCGCCGUGCAGUGACCACACUUGUACUCACCAUAGCUAGCAUGGGAGACCCAGUAUCAGGUCGCGUGAGGGGUAAAGUCUGCGCCCGGGUUCACUCAGGUACUAGGUUUACCGAUUACCAUAUUUCCUGACAUGUGCUUAGUACAUUCAAACGCUUGACUCAGGUAUCCACACAUUAAUCCUUAAUUCCUUUUUCUGUCUUAUGGACAAGGCAUCCUCCCUGGAUCCAAGUCCAUAGACCAUCAUAGAUCCCGUUAUCAAGAUGAAUAUAAUCAAGUCCUGACCUCGCGCGAGUGCUAGAAAAAUCACUCGACUUCUACCGAGAUCCUGAUUAGCAAAGCAGCUACUCGACCUAGCAUAUUAGUAUCCAUCUCAAAAAGGAAUCCUGAGUUCAUGCAACUAGAGGUUUCAAGCAACUCCUACACUUAAGUGCACAUCACAAGCCUACAAACAUUAAGUGUAGUAAAGUAGCAUAUAUAGAUACGGUUAUGCAUAAAACCGGGGCUUGCCUUCAAUAGCUGGGGCUACGGGGAGAUCCUCGAUGGUAGUCUCGGAAGCUUGCUCCUGGUCUUCCUCAUGGACAGCUCCUUGAUCAGGGAUGAGCACAUACUCUCCAUCAGCGAGAUUGCAAUCUAAUGAAUGCAAUGAGUAAGAUAGAUGCAUGGCAUGGUAUGUAAUUUACAAUUAAGAUUUGAUGGGGGAUGAUCAAUUUAAUAAGGUAGGGCUUAUUCUUACUACUGAAGGUUUUUGUGGUACACUUAACAAAUUAGGGUCAAGCUUGGUUAAGCUAAUUGGUAAGUUCAUUUUGGUGUUCCACUGAUUUAUUUUUAAUGUCUUAGUCAGAGUUUAAUAAGAUUUCUAGCUGAAUUCAUUGGAGUGAGAUUUAUUUCCCCUCUCUUCCUUUCUAUUUCUUUUAUGCUUUUAAGGUGGGUUUGAACUACAAGACAACUUAAUAAAUUUCCAAAACUUCUGCAAAAAUUACAGUGGCUUCUUACUGGUGUAUAAUUUUCUGUCUCAAAAAUUGGGGCUUAAAAAUUGAGGGGUUCUCUCUGUAUAAAAUUAUCAAAUAAUAGGGCAGAGGGGUGUUUUGAACUACAACUACCUUUUAACAGUAGGUUAUUCUCUAAGACAUAUUUUUGCUGGCAUUUAGAUGUUAUAACAUGACUUUGUACAAAUUUUUAGAUACUAAUACUUAUUAGUUAUUUUGUUAUGAUUUUCUAAAGUUUCUAGCCAAAGGGGUGCUUUUUACUACCACUAUACUUGAAAAAUAUCAAACAACAGACUUUUAACAGUAGGUUAUUCUCUAAGACAUAUUUUUGCUGGCAAUGGGUAUUAUUUUGUAACUUUCAAUUAGGUUUUGCAUUUUUCUCGAUGGCCUACUUCAUUAUUAAUCUGGUAAAAAUUUAUUUGCCCAUUAUUGCACACUUUUUGGCUUGCUUAUGGUUUAAUUGGAAUAUGGCUCAGUAUCAAGUUCUAUUUGUUUAAUCUACUUAAAAUGAUGGACUAGGGUAUUUAUCAUUUUUGUAGUGGUGUCCUAGUGGUUACAAGUCUACUGAAUUUUUCUUAACAAUUUUGAAAUUGUUUUCAUAAUUCUAAUAAUUGUCUUUCUAGUUUGAUUAGUGCCUAAUAAAACAUUUCUCCUUGAAUUUUUUCUAGACUAGGGUUCCCUUUAUUUUUCCUAGGUUCUCUAUUACUUAAGUGGACUAGGAAAAAUAUUUGCAUUCACUGUUCAUAAUUUUCCAAUGCCUUUCUCAUUUUCAUAAGUUUUGGGCAAACAUGGCUUUUACUAAAUAACCUUGUUUAAAUCUUCAAUACUAGGGUGCUUACUAUUUUUAAACAGUGCCUAAGUGGGGUUUACACUUCUACAAAUUUUCUUAAGUUCAGCACAGAAGCAUAACUAAUUUUUUUUAUUUUAAUAUGGUUUGGUUAGUUUCCUUAAUUAAUUCCAAACUCUAAAAUUUAAAACAAAAAGCACAGAGUUCACUAUUUUUAUAUGACAGUUCAUAAUAUUUUGAGUCUAGUAAAAUUGGUUUGACUAGAUUUGGCUAAAUAUUUCUCAAGAUAUAAAUUUUCUAAUUUCUCUGCUGAAUUUAAAAAGAUUAAUUAGAAAUGGAUAAAGGAAAAAUGGUUUUGCACUCAGGUCCCUGGCGAAAGGUUUUAAACGUAUUACAGACAGGUCCUCGGUUCACUAUUCAUCUGGGUCUAUGACUCUGCAGAAAACCCCCUAGGGUUUCCCGAAAUCGAACCCACGAUCCUUCCCCUAAUGGAAUAGUGACCGCGGUGGAGGAAAAGGGCGAAGGGGCUUACCGGCGGCGAGGUUGCUCCGGUGAGGGGUCGGGCGAGGUCGGGUAGUCUCUAGCGAUCACGUCGAGGUGCGGAUCGCUGGUGAUGAUGGUCGGAGUAGGUCGGUCCACACGCGCAGGCGGGGGAGCUCGUCGGCGGCGAGGAAUCCGGCCUAACGAGGGCGCGAUAGAUCAAUUAAAUGGGUCAGGGAGCUUCACCAGAGGUCAAGGAAGAUGUGAGUGCGAAGAAUUUGAGAAUGGCUCACCAGAUUGCUCGGUCUACGUGCGGCCGCGGGCGACCGAAGUCCAGCGAAGGCGAUCUUGGGUCUCCGGUGAGGUUCUGCCGGGUCUGAGAGCUUGGAAAGCUUUAUGGGCCACUUGCGAAGCUAACCGAGGGAUAGGCACGGCUUGGACGCGGCUGGAGCGAGCUGGCCGUGGUGGCCGAGGCUUGGGCAGUGAUGGCAGGCAGAGGAAAGUGUCACACCCGGCUUUAAGGAACAAAGCCAGGUGUAUCUCAUACAUGCGCCAAGAAGACAACAUGAUAAUAACAGAGUGUAUAGAGAUAAAUGUCACAAUAACAUCAGAGUAUUUAUUACAUAGCGGAAGUCUUAUUACAAAAUAAAAGAUAAAUAUAAAAGGAACUAAGGAUCAUCCUUGGCGCAAGAGUCAACUGGGGAAACACCACCUAGAUCAGAUCAAACUCCUCGCUUUGUGGCUCCUCCUGAACCACAUGUUCUUCUCCAGUGGGGGGUGUGAGACAGCAAGGGUGAGCUCACACAUGAUCAUAGCUCAACAAGUUGUGGGGAACUAGUGGGCAUGAACUCACCAAAGGUGGGAGUUCAUGUGAUAUGUAAGGCUAAUCAAUGACAGGGGGUUAAAGCUGAGCAUUGCUUUUAAGUAGUUGGUCAAAAUUUUAUUAGCAGUUACUAAAUGUAAGUAAAUACCAAACCUUAAGUAAAGUAAGAGAACAAAAUUAAUACAUAAUCCCAUGCAAUGCAAAUGAAAAAUUAAAUUUAAGUUCCAUAAAUUAUUCAUCGGAGAGUCCUGUGCUGCUCAUGACCGUGAGCUCGGCUAGUAUACCAGUUUUACACUCUGCAGAGGUUGUACCCUGUACCCACAAGUCGUGUAUCCCAUGUCGCCAGGGUUAGCUAGACCCUUAGACACUACCGAGGUGAAUGGCUAUGGAUCCACUAGCUUCUGAAAACCUGCUACAGUUUAUGGGAAGAGCACUUGCAAGCCCCGUCUGACCGCCAUCGCAGCAAAAUCAACUCGAGAACCUCCUUGCAUGCAAUCCCCUACUGCCCUUGCCCCUUUCGGGUAAGGUAGUCUUCCACUAGCUUUCCUAGUUAGUUGGCCAAGGGUAUCCCAUUAAACCCUUGUGGUGGCACAUGUUUCUCAAGUUAAGCUCUAUGUUCCAAUUAACAUUAAUGAUCUUGACAUGAGCAUAAAUAGAAUAACAAAAUAAUUGAAACAUGGAUAUAAUAAAAUAUUAUCCCAAAACCAUGUAAAGCGAUAACAACACUACCCAAGUGAUUCAGGGAUAACAAGGUAAAGAGAUAAACAAUCUAGGGUGACCUAUCGGGUCUCAUCAAAAUUAAGCCUAUCCAUGGUAAAUGAUUAUAAAGAACAUUAUUGGUUAACAAAAGUGGUCAAGGGCACAACUUGCCUUAAAUGAGCUCCUGCUCAGCUACUUCUAUCUGCUGGUCACCAGGAUCCUCAGUCACAGGUUCUUCUACUCGCCACAAUACAAACAAGCACAGUAUAUAAGGAAAAUUAACAUCACACCAAACAUAUAAACAAAAUACAUAAUAAUAAUCUACACAUUAAAAUAAAAUCCUAUGAAUAGGAAUCAUAAUUUUUGGAGUUAUAGAUUUUGAGAUAUGAAUUUUUGAAGGCUUUAUGUGCUUAAAAUAGGAUUAAAUGAGAAAUUAUUUUUCUUACUCUUUUCAUGACAAAACAGAGACUCUAAAUGACAGAUAAUAAUAUUACAAAAUUUUAGAAAUUGGAAUGGGUCAAUUUGGACUAAAAAUAGAUUUUCUGCAAAUUAAACAAGUUUCUGCAAUUAAUUUAAUACUAAAAAUCUAUUUCUAAAUUCAUUUCUCUGAUUUUUCUUAUUCUCUGGACUGGGUCUCAAAUCCUGGAAAGUCCAGGGGUCUCGGGGUAAUAUUUCUAAGAGACAAGGAACACUCGUAAUUGGACUGCAGGUUGAUUUCUUGUUUACCAGAGGGCUCUUUAGCAAAUGUGUUGGCCGAAGGGGUACGUAGAGAUCCUGGCUGUUGGAUUAGCGAUUAACUGCGGGGAUUAAAUCCAUUUAUUUGUCAAACCGGUAUCUACUGGUGACCACUAGAUCCAAAAUCAACGGCCAUGAUUCAAAAUCUCCUAGAUCUAAUCCUAGCCACAGGUUCUAGUGUCUUCUCCUAUCCCGAACACCCCAGGCGGUGGGGCUGGCCCCACGGCCGUGCAGCCCAGCGAGGUACCCUGCCAAGCGAUUCAACGCACUAGAGCCCAACCCGAAAAGUGCUACACAACACAAAGUUCAUGGUGAAACAAAGGGUAGGACCUUACUUGCAAACGUGUAGCAUGGUGCCCCGGCGUCGUGCAUGGUGGCUCGGCGGUGAAGGAGGACCUUCAGAGAAGAAUUCCGGCGACUCUAACCAAGCUCAGGAUGUUCAUGCCCUCACACAGCGUGCCCCAGCGAUGCACCCUGGCCACCCUGAGACUUUAAACAGCAGUCAUCGAUCUGAUCGAUGAUGGCGGCUCCUGCUGGCUUCCCAUUGGUUUCCGCCCGUGCACGAGAUUGUGGCCGAGACUUGGGAUUUCAGGUCUACUCUAUCGCUUUUAUAUCCUGGGCAGAGGCUAUAACAGCCCAGGAGAUUCUGGUGUGGGGUUUGUUAUGAUCGCGUCAUGGUUUGUUGGAGAUAAUCACGCUGGAUUUCUGGUUGGUGGCGCUCUGUUAAUGUGUGGAGGAGCUACUACUUACGAAGCUGGUCCACACAGCAGCGGAACACCUGAGCGCACUGACUUCUC
rnacentral:lncRNA from 1 species